CUCGGGUCGCUUGGCCAGAAGAUUCCAAGUUCUUAGAGAUAAUGGUGACGAUGUGAGUUUUGCCACUCUCAUGCUUUUUUACUCCCGUCUCCUUCCCCUACACAUUACCUUUACGGACACCCUUAUACUCCAUGAGGAGAAACUCAUAUUGCCUCUCUAAUCCCCAUCCCCCGCGCAGCCAGUUAGGAGAUGACAUUUCUCCCAAUUUUGUUGAUACUAUUUGUGGUUGUUUCAAUUGCUUGGAAUAAGGUGAUCUAAUGAGAUGAUGCUGUAAGUUUUGAAGCAUAGGAUGCCAAGGGGGAGAUGUGAGAUCAUAGCCUACAUCUGUCGACACGUGGAGGAUCAAUCCCAUUGUGUCCUGUAGGAGAUAAACUGGUGUAUUUCUGGUUUUGAAGACUCAAGGUCAUCGAGACAUCUAACACAGAGCACCCUGUUAAUGUUACUUCUAAUUGAUCAUGAAGGAUGGAGAUUUUGCAAAUGCAGAGGGAUUUUUGAAUGUUACUUUUGGAAAUGAGAAGAAGCCAAUUACCGAUAGAUGCACUGAGCCAUAGAAUGAGUCAUGUUCUCUAGCAGCCAAUACAAGGCUCGCUAUUAUCAAAUAUGUUGUUACUACUUUGAUGUGUUCGUUUUUCUUCCCUUGGAGGUCUUGCCCAUCGUAAUAGUACCAUAUCUGUAAUGAGGUACCAAUAAACAAAAUAGUUUUUAUUUUCCACAACAUGUUUUCAUUUUAAUCCGCAUUAUUGAUCUCUCUUGUAAA